rnacentral:rRNA from 1 species
UCGGGAAUUUUGGGCAAUGGGCGAAAGCCUGACCCAGCAACGCCGCGUGAAGGAUGAAGUAUUUCGGUAUGUAAACUUCGAAAGAAUAGGAAGAAUAAAUGACGGUACUAUUUAUAAGGUCCGGCUAACUACGUGCCAGCAGCCGCGGUAAUACGUAGGGACCAAGCGUUGUUCGGAUUUACUGGGCGUAAAGGGCGCGUAGGCGGCAAUUCAAGUCAUCUGUGAAAUCUCCGGGCUUAACUCGGAACGGUCAGAUGAUACUGCUUUGCUAGAGUGCAGAAGGGGCAAUCGGAAUUCUUGGUGUAGCGGUGAAAUGCGUAGAUAUCAAGAGGAACACCUGAGGUGAAGACGGGUUGCUGGGCUGACACUGACGCUGAGGCGCGAAAGCCAGGGGAGCAAACGGGGAUUAGAUACCCAGGUAGUCCCUGAGCGGGCUGGCAAGGCGCAU